UGCAGAUGUGGCAGUGGGGCUGCAGGAGUGACAAGAUGUGUGGGUGCAGGUGUUGCAGUGGGGCUGCAGGAGUGACAAGAUGUGUGAGGGUGCAGGUGUGGCAAUGGGGCUGCAGGAAUGACAAGGUGUAAGGGUGCAGGUAUGGUAGGAGGUGUGAGGGUGCAGGUGUGGCCGUGGGGCUGCAGGAGUGACAAGAUGUGAGUGUGCAGGUGUGGCAGUGGGGCUGCAGGAGUGACAAGGUGUAAGGGUGCAGGUAUGGUAGGAGGUGUGAGGGUGCAGGUGUGGCCGUGGGGCUGCAGGAGUGACAAGAUGUGAGUGUGCAGGUGUGGUAGGAGGUGUGAGGGUGCAGGUGUGGCAGUGGGGCUGCAGGAGUGACAAGGUGUAAGGGUGCAGGUAUGGUAGGAGGUGUGAGGGUGCAGGUGUGGCCGUGGGGCUGCAGGAGUGACAAGAUGUGAGUGUGCAGGUGUGGUAGGAGGUGUGAGGGUGCAGGUGUGGCAGUGGGGCUGCAGGAGUGACAAGGUGUAAGGGUGCAGGUAUGGUAGGAGGUGUGAGGGUGCAGGUGUGGCAGUGGG